rnacentral:rRNA from 1 species
UGAGCCAGAACAGGAGGGACCCUGGUCGGAUUAGUUAGUUGGUAAGGUAACGGCUUACCAAGGCGACGAUCAGUAGCCGACCUGAGAGGGGGAUCGGCCACAUUGGAACUGAGACACGGUCCAAACGCCUACGGGAGGCAGCAGUGGGGAAUAUUGCACAAUGGGCGAAAGCCUGAUGCAGCAACGCCGCGUGAGUGAUGAAGGCC